rfam:Brassica napus, WGS project CCCW01000000 data, contig: 10109
GGAAGUUAAGAAAUUGUUUCUUAACUUUUAACUAAAAAAGCUAAGAACCGGUUCUUAAAUAAGGACUUAAGAACCGGUUCUUAUACUUUUUAGUUAAAAGUUAAGAAACCGUUUCUUAACUUCA